AGAGUUUGAUCCUGGCUCAGGACGAACGCUGGCGGCACGCUUAACACAUGCAAGUCGAACGAGAGAAGAGGAGCUUGCUUUUCUGAUCUAGUGGCGGACGGGUGAGUAACACGUGAGCAAUCUGCCUUUCAGAGGGGGAUACCGAUUGGAAACGAUCGUUAAUACCGCAUAACAUAAUUGAACCGCAUGAUUUGAUUAUCAAAGAUUUAUCGCUGAAAGAUGAGCUCGCGUCUGAUUAGCUAGUUGGUAAGGUAACGGCUUACCAAGGCGACGAUCAGUAGCCGGACUGAGAGGUUGAUCAGCCACAUUGGGACUGAGACACGGCCCAGACUCCUACGGGAGGCAGCAGUGGGGAAUAUUGCACAAUGGAGGAAACUCUGAUGCAGCGAUGCCGCGUGAGGGAAGAAGGUUUUAGGAUUGUAAACCUCUGUCUUCAGGGACGAAAAAAGACGGUACCUGAGGAGGAAGCUCCGGCUAACUACGUGCCAGCAGCCGCGGUAAUACGUAGGGAGCGAGCGUUGUCCGGAAUUACUGGGUGUAAAGGGAGCGUAGGCGGGAUCGCAAGUCAGAUGUGAAAACUAUGGGCUUAACCCAUAAACUGCAUUUGAAACUGUGGUUCUUGAGUGAAGUAGAGGUAAGCGGAAUUCCUAGUGUAGCGGUGAAAUGCGUAGAUAUUAGGAGGAACAUCAGUGGCGAAGGCGGCUUACUGGGCUUUAACUGACGCUGAGGCUCGAAAGCGUGGGGAGCAAACAGGAUUAGAUACCCUGGUAGUCCACGCCGUAAACGAUGAUUACUAGGUGUGGGGGGACUGACCCCUUCCGUGCCGCAGCAAACGCAAUAAGUAAUCCACCUGGGGAGUACGACCGCAAGGUUGAAACUCAAAGGAAUUGACGGGGGCCCGCACAAGCAGUGGAGUAUGUGGAUUAAUUCGAAGCAACGCGAAGAACCUUACCAGGUCUUGACAUCGUAUGCAUAGCUCAGAGAUGAGUGAAAUCUCUUCGGAGACAUAUAGACAGGUGGUGCAUGGUUGUCGUCAGCUCGUGUCGUGAGAUGUUGGGUUAAGUCCCGCAACGAGCGCAACCCUUACUGUUAGUUGCUACGCAAGAGCACUCUAGCAGGACUGCCGUUGACAAAACGGAGGAAGGUGGGGAUGACGUCAAAUCAUCAUGCCCCUUAUGACCUGGGCCUCACACGUACUACAAUGGCUGUCAACAGAGGGAAGCAAAGCCGCGAGGUGGAGCGAACCCCUAAAAGCAGUCUUAGUUCGGAUUGUAGGCUGCAACCCGCCUACAUGAAGUCGGAAUUGCUAGUAAUCGCAGAUCAGCAUGCUGCGGUGAAUACGUUCCCGGGCCUUGUACACACCGCCCGUCACGCCAUGGGAGUCGGUAACACCCGAAGCCUGUAGUCUAACCGCAAGGAGGACGCAGUCGAAGGUGGGAUUGAUGACUGGGGUGAAGUCGGAACAAGAUA
rnacentral:rRNA from 1 species